GAGUAUUUAGGUCUUAUGGGGCUCAAGUGCUCCACUAAAAAGUCGGAGUUGUUGAUCUUCAAAUCUAAGAAGCUGGGUCGUAGGCCGAAGGAUUGGGUACCGGAAGUUGAGGCUUGCAUUAGAAUCCAAACUAGGGAUGGGUCGUUGAUACCGAAAGUUGAGGCUAUCAGGGUUCUGGGUUUGGUAGUUGAAGCGAAUGGAUCGAAUAACAGAACCAUUCAGCGUAUUACCAAGAAGACGGAGGCGGCCAUAAGACUUAUCCGAAGGGUCUCUAAUAGGCAUAGGGGUUUAGGCGAAGAGGGCGCGAUGCGGCUAGUUCACGCAUUUAUUCUGUGUCAUUUCUCGUAUGUGGCAGCUAUGCUAAAUUGGAAUAGGGGGGAGAAAGAUAAGUUGGAAGCUUGAAUUAGAAAAGCCAUCAAGGCUGCGCGUG
rnacentral:lncRNA from 1 species